rnacentral:rRNA from 1 species
UAUACAGCGAAACUGCGAACGGCUCAUUACAACAGAUAUAAUUUACUAGUUCUUGUUCCUAUAUGGAUAACUGCGGUAAUUCUGGAGCCAAUACAUGCAUCAAGCCGCGGCCCUUCGGGAUCGUGGUGCAAUUAUUGGAGCAAAACCAGUCUCGUACUGUUUGCUAACUCUGGAUAAUUCUGCUUAUCGCAUGGUCUUGUACCGGCGAAGUUUCUUUCAAGUAUCUGCUUUAUCAACUAUCGUUGGUAGUUUAUUGGACUACCAUGGUGUUGACGGGUAACGGAGAAUCAGGGUUUGACUCCGGAGAGGGAGCCUUAGAAACGGCUACCAUGUCUAAGGAUAGCAGCAGGCGCGAAAAUUACCCAAUAUCAAAACGAUGAGGUAGUGACGAGAAAUAACGAGAUCGUUCUCUUUGAGGUCGAUUAUUGGAAUGAGUACAAUCCAGACAUUUUAACGAGUAUCUACGAGAGGGCAAGUCUGGUGCCAGCAGCCGCGGUAAUUCCAGCUCUCGUAAUGUAUAGAAUUAUUGUUGCGAUUAAAAAGUUCGUAGUUGGAUUGUCACGCAGACAUGGGUCCACCUUCGUGGUGCGUACUCAAUGUUUGCAUUUUGUUGGUUUUCGUUUUGUCGUUUCGGCGACACUAUGAUGCCAGCAGGAUUACUUUGAACGGCUCAAGUGCUUAAAGCGAGUCUUAUGACUGAAUACCGGUGCAUGGAAUAAUGGAACAAGGUUGCGGCCGAGUUUUAUUGGUUUUGUCGGCUGAAACAAUGGUUAACAGGAACAGCCGGGGGCAUUCGUAUCGCUGCGCGAGAGGUGAAAUUCGUGGACCGUAGCGAGACGCCCGACAGCGAAGGCAUUUGCCAAGAGUGUUUUCAUUAAUCAAGAACGAAAGUCAGAGGUUCGAAGGCGAUUAGAUACCGCCCUAGUUCUGACCGUAAACGAUGCCAACUGUCGAUCCGCUCUUGGAUCUAAUUCUUGAGCGGGGAGAUUCCCGGAAACGAAAGUUUUUCGGUUUCGGGGGAAGUAUGGUUGCAAAGCUGAAACUUAAAGGAAUUGACGGAAGGGCACCACCAGGAGUGGAGCCUGCGGCUUAAUUUGACUC